ensembl:lncRNA
CCCCUCCCCGUGCAUAUCUGCACACACGCUCCCAGGGAGCCCCGGCGGACAGACGCGAGAAAACAGAGGGGCCCCGAGCGCCUACGUGGAGCGCGCACACACUGAUGCCACGCUUUCCACGGUGGGAAGGAAAUGAAGCGCGCAGUGGCCAGAGCCCGGCGGAGAGCAACAGACCACUGGAGCAGGCUGCCCAGAUAGGUUGUGGAGUCUCCUACUUGGAGAUAUUCAAGACCCACCUGGACACCUUCCUUUGCAACCUAUGAACUAGUUUUCCACUCGUGAUGCUCAAAGUGGCAAAAAUAUUAUAGAAGAAAACUAUUGGAUUGUCAAGUUGUAUUAUAAAUACAAGACCUGGAUGCAAUGGACUCAUGCAUAAUCUUUCUGUGUAAGACAUUUGCCAUCUGCCUACCACUCCCAUCUUGAGUAGAGAAGGCUGCUGGAAGACACGAUACAGGCCUCAAAUAUGUCAAAGAUUCUUCAUCAAGGAAAGAAAAAAGCGUUUUUCUGCUUGCCAUGUGUAAGAUCAGAAAUGAUGAGCUGUAAUUGUUCAAGAGGCAUUUAAGUGCGAAAUUGGGAAAAAAUGUCUAAUGGUAAAUACUGCAGAAAGACAGAAACAAAUGACUAAGGAAGGUGUGCAGUGUCUGUAAUGAGAAAUUCUUUAGCAACGCUGAGAAACAUCUAUCAUGAAUAGGUUAUAAUCCUAUCCUGCCUUUUUAAGGGGAAAAGGAGAGCAAAUUAAAUGUUGUUCGAAGAUCUUUUUUCCAUUUUCCAUGAUUCUAUGAUUAUUUUUCUUUUAUCUGUGGCUCCUGCAAGACUUUUCCCCUGGUCACCUACCAACUCCCAUGGAGCCAGGCAGCCUGACCAGGACCAUGUUUCAGAUAACUGGAAGAACUCAGUGAUCGCAAACACAGCUGCCUUUUCUCCAGCUCUCCAUGUCCCUCCAGCCGGAAUUGCUCCAGAGGGAGAGUAGGUGCAGUGCAGCUUGGACAGGUAGCAGCCCACAUUUACUGAGGGACCUCUGUUUUUCCAGAGUCGUAGAGCAAAUCAUCACCAUUAAUCUGAGGUGUGUCCCUCUCACCUUCCCUGAUGGCAAAUCCUACAGGUGGAAGAGAUUAAUAAUAUGCAAAGCAGGAAUGGUCACAGAGUCAGAGUUCAGAAAGGUAAACUUUCCUCCAUCUCCAGCUUGCACACUUGACCACACAGCGCCUGAGCACACAGCUCAGGCCCCCCACCUGGAUUUGUUAUAAUCAUCAAGCAUAUGCAAAGCUCAGAACCAACCUACUCAUUUUCUGCAGCAUCCAGUAUAGGUUAUGUGAAAUAUUAAAAUAUGUAAUUGUAAAUGCAUGCCCUUUAUUGCGUUAUAACUAAGAAACCAGAUCUUUUCCCACUGACUUUCCAUGCAACUUUUCCCUGUUCUCAUAUCCCAUGUGGCUCUUAAGUGUGCAAAGGCACCAGUAUUAAAAUUUAUAAGAUAUUUAUAUAAAUCAGAUGGUUGGUAAGUAUUAAAUCUGAUUUUUCUCAAUAACCCGAGGGGGAAUAUUAAAAUAUUAAAAUUGUUUGAAUUUUUAAAACACAAAUGGGCUUUUGAAUAGUUUAGGCCCAAGCUUCAACUCUUGUACUCAAAUACAUUCUGGCUGAGUACAGAGUUCUUGAAGUUUUUGUCUUGUUACUCACAUCUAGUGAGACAAAUGGCAGACUUAGUAGAAAGUCUGUUCUGAAAAAUCAUAAACAGAUCCAUGUGGAAGAAUGAAUAUUAUCUUCUGUUUUCAUCCUGCGAUUUACAUGUUUGGAAGUAUAUAUCUCUUGUCUUAAAUAACUGAGGUCACAUUGUAAAACUUGCUGCCAGUGUUGCCUCAUGGCAUUACCAGUUUACGUACUAUCUUUGCUUCCACAUUUAAACAUCUUUGAUGUAAUUGUGAACAUGAAACCUUACAACAAUUUUCUGUUCAAGAAAUUUUAUUCUCAGUCUCUUAACACACUUUCUGGGAACUAAUUCUGGUUCCAUAUUGUGGACUCAAGAGUUAACAGCUGUGGGUAAGCAUAGCCAUGGCUCCCCAUUUUCUUUUUUAGUAGAUAAAUAACAUUUGCCUCGAGGAGGAUGUGUUAUUGUUCUGAGAUGUGCAAGAGUAUGUCUAGAAUAGCUGCAGAAGAGGGAGUUGUGUAUGCAGAAAGAAUGUUUGCUCUUUCCUUUAGGCUCUGAUUAGGUCAAUUCUUGGGACAUGUUUGGCUUGCAAACCCACAAUUACUGUUACACAGUUUUUCUGGAGAAGGGGAUUUCUUUGCAUGCUGUUUUGGUCAUCUUGUUGCCAAACCAGUGUGUAUAUGUGUGUACUGGAAAAAGCAAAUUGUAAAAGGAAUGUACUUAAACUCUAUAUCACUGUUUUUUCCAUAGCUGAAAGAAUCAAUCUACUGGUAUAGGUGUGUGUGCACAGAAAUGAAGAUAUUGACAUGAGAAAAUAACAGUGGAAUCAGAAGAAACAAGAAAUGGUAUACUGACAAAAGUAAUGUUUUUGUUAUUGUUAGAUGUUUUAAUCUUUGUGCUUCAGGCCUCAUUUCAUAUUUCGUACUGCAAAAUGAAAAACAAACAUAUGAAAGAAGAGAAUUGUGUUCUUUUCCUUUUGAACUGCUAUUUAAAUGAGUUCCUAUUACUGUUUGUAAGAACUACAUUUUAGGGAAUGUAUUAAAUCCCAACAAGUAAACAAAUACAUCUUAAAUCUAAUCAUUACAAGAUUAUUCCUGAUAUUUAUAAUACCCUGGCCUUUAAGUUUUCUUUUAGAACAGCUGCAGGGCUUUUGGACAAGAUGAGUAGCUCUUAAUCGAACGGCUGAAAAACUCCCAAGAAGUGAUUUGUCAUCUUAGGCAAGGCAUUUUUUAAAUAACCCAAUGGCACAUGAAACUAGGCUUAAAUGCCAUUAUGAUAAAAACCACUUAAGCUGCUGAUAAUCAUCCUAUGUGAAUUGGCACUCUAUAUGCUUACAGACAAAUCUGGACAUGCUUCAAUUACCUUUUCAGCAUAGCUCUGAAUACUAUUAAUACUAUGAAAAAUGUUAUAUAUGUAAAUUACAAAAAUACCACUGUAAGUAAAAAGUGUAUGUUCAUCAUUGUAAUUAGUGGCUUGUGCCAAGAAAGCAUCUUGUGAAAGCAGAUAAUUGACUUUUUUAAAUUAGAGGUGAAAGAAACCUGCAAGAUCAUUUUAUUAACCGUGACAAACUUGGCAUGCUGCUAUUACAUUUUAUCUAGAAAGAAAUGCUAAUUCACUGAUUCAUAACAGAUACCUCGUUUCAGUGUUCUUUUCUAUUUAGUAAUGCUGAUGAGUUCUUUGAGUUGAUCACCUGUAAAUUGCUCUUGUGAAGUAGUCUUACCCCUAAUUAUUAUUAUAGGGCUACCUAUAUUACCUUUUUUUAUCAAGAUGCUGGUCUAUGGGCUGAUGAAAAAGGAAGUUCUUACACAUUUAGGUUCCAGAAGUCUGGAUAAUACUAGUUUUGCUUCCAGGCUCUUAAUGUAAUGCUGAAUAUGUCUGAAUUUUAUUGAAAUUCUCCGUUCUGAAGUGUAACAAAUACAUCUUCACUGACUUUCACUGAAGAAUCAACGAGACUAAUUCAGGUGCAGAGAAUUUCCACAGAGGCCUUCAAAGAUCUCUCCCCAUUGGCUAUAUGGAGUCUUCACUGAAUAAAAGCUGGUAAAAGCUGCAUUUUCAUCUUCAAGAGACAUCUACUGUUGAAAUCCUUCUAAGCCUAGCCAAGUUUAUUUUCUGCCUUAUCACACUUGAAUAUUUUUUACCAAAGGAAAAACAAAAGAAGGCACUUAACAUGCUUGUGACCUAAAUAUUUUACUAUAGGAAGCUUGCAUUCACUUUACACCUGGGCAGCCAGGCUUUGUUCUUUGUGGCACUGUAUGUCCAAACCACCUCUCCAAUGGAAGCAGAGUUUAUUAUUCUUCAGUAUUUUUAAAGUCUUUU